UUUUUUUUUAACCCAAGUACACUCAAACACUAUAUCACCUACCUAUCAGAUCCUCCCUUUGACUAUCAAGAUUCAAAGUAGGAGCGAAACAGUAUCAACAGUGAUAUCAUCACCUGACACAACCACCUAAAACUCUAAAUUGGACAAGGCAUUAUAAACUUCCAUUGUAUUUUACCUCAACUAACUCGUCUGUCCUCCCUUUAAGCAUUUCUGGAAAGAGGGUAGAUAAGAUCCAUCUUACAGCAAGAAAAACUGGGCAAAGAUUGCAAUUCCUCAGUUUUCAGAACAUUUAUGAAAAUAAGGAAUUAGUUUUGAAUAGUUUUAAUCACUGCUUAUGUCCUGAGUCACUGACUAACUAGUCUUUGUUUUGACUCGUGCGUUAUGUUUAAAUGUCAAACAGUUUUUGCUAUAAUACAACAACAUCAUGCAGUAUUCUGAUUAGGUCAACAGCAUGAUGUGCCCAAUGUGAAUACUCAGAAAUGGGUCACUGAAAAGACACCUGACAUCACAUGACCAAAGUACCGAUAACACCCUUACAUACUUUCUCAGGAGUCUCUAUUAUAGUCAGUUACACAGUCUUACCAGUUCAUUUAAAUUUAUAAUACUUGUACUUACAUCACCUCACUAUAAAUGAAUUGAAAUAAUCUUGCAUCUUCAGCAACUUGGACAAGUAAGCUCCUUGUGACAUUAUGUUUAUUUUUGUAUACUCUAACGUAGUGUCUCAGCACAUUGAGAAGAACACUCAAAGCACAAUACUUCUGCCAUAUACUCUGUUCCAUGCAACCAAAACCCUCUGUUUACCUGUGUGCAAAGGUACUUCAUGAAGAUUGAUAAAACAUUUACUUAUAUUCAGAAAAAUCAGACUUAGGCUACAGUCAAACAAUGAGUCAUUUUAGAUAAGUCAAAGAAUUAUCAUUUAUGUGAAUGCACAGUAUUUAAUACUUAUUCUAGUGUUAAUAGACGUAGUCAAAUCCUCAUAAUCCCUUGGGACCCUUUAAUGCAGUACUUUCACCCACACAGUCUUUCUCUGCUGUUCAUUCUAUUUCCUACAUGAUCAGAGACAUAUAACAAUGUAAUCUAAAUGCAUUUCCUUAGAGAAAGAGAAAGAAAACCAAGCAUAACAGAUAAAGAACAAUGUAGAGUGGAAAAGAAACACUAUAACAAAAGAACAAAAGAAAAAAGCCCAUCUAAGUAGGCCACUCACAAUGUUAAAUUGGAUAAGUGAAUAAUUUUAGGAAGCGGUAUAAAUGUUAGCAUGUUUGUGUUACAAACUACUAAAAUGCUCCAGUUAGUGCUUCCUAGAAUAGCAAGAAAGUGGCACAUCUCUCCUCAUGAGAUCUCAGCACCACACUCUGAGCUACAAGAUAAACUAGGUUACACAGGUUUAUUGGAAAGUCUGCAUAUUGCCAUUGGGAAUAGAGCAUUUAAUAGACUUGGCUAAUAAAGAGUCUGUAAUACUGAAACAGGUCGUGUGAAUACACAAAUACCUCUCAGUGUAUUUCCACCUUCAGUAGGAUUGAAAGGAUAAAACUUCUCAGAUCCCACUUUCUCCUGAGUUCUCCCACCAACAGCUCUCCCCAUGUUAUUUCCAGGGGUGACCAAACAAUUAUGAAGCAAUGAAAUGUAGAAGUCCUCUAGAAUAUUUUUGCAAUGCAUAAUAGUCAAUUAAAAAUAUAUUAAACAUACACUACAUUUAACUCCAGUGAGCAAAUUAAGGUAUCUCACACAAGCAGAGAGUGUCUCGAACAUAAGUAUUCAGAAAUUUUGUUGCUGAGAACAGUUAAAUACAUAUAUAUUUUUAGUGUUUAACAGCUAUAUUAAAAUCAAGCUGUUACAAAUGCAAUAAAUUCACUUAUUAAGAGCUCUAGGAUGAACAUCAGUUUAUGUGGAAAGCUAAGGCAAACCCAAACACUUUGUCUUCAGUGGCUCUGUAUCCACAGCUAUAAUUUCACAUUCCUCAAUUUGUUCCACCUUGAACAAAUAUGGUUUCAGUUGGUUCUCUCAGUGCUUGCUUCACAUUCCUUUACUGUGGUCAGACGGGCUGAUAUUCUCUUUAACAUCAUAUCUUGAACUACUCCUAAAGUCAGAUCAUUACAUGAAAGUUAAUUGGACCUUCAGAAUCUCUUAAGCCUUUCUCUAGUCAGUUGUGAUUAAUCUCUCUCUUUCCUAAUGUAACACAGACCCUAUCUUUUCCAUUUCCACUGAAAGAGAUGAAUUAUGUCACUUGUUAUAAGUCUAGCAAUUUUAUAAGCUGCUCACAUAAAGUAGAUAGAAAUGCAGUGUGAAUCUUCAGAAAUCUAAGCCCAGAUACUUAAGACUGAAUACAGUGAAAUUCCUUUGUUAUCUUGAUUUUUCCAGUUUUGGUCACUUGAUUUCUUUUUUCUUUUGACAGCUAGCCUUCAGUUGUUGGUUGUUUUUUUUCUUUAAUCAUUCAUUUUAUGAAAAAUUAUAGAACAAAAUGUAUCUGGGAUAUUUUCCUAAGAUAUUUUCAGGGUUGACUCUCCCCUCUAUCAGACGCUGUAAACUCUCUAAUAGUAGUGUUCCAAACCAUAAAAAAAUAUGCAAGCAAAUUUGUUCUUUUCUACCUUGUCCUUGCUACAUUAAUCUGAUGAGGCUAACAAGCUGUACAGAAUAAAAAUGUAGUUAAGUCAGAUUAACGUCACUGUUUGAAGCAACUGCAAGCCAAUCAAGACUAUUCAACAUUAAAUGCAUUUUAUAACCAUUAUGAUAAUCAGCCUAGUAAGAAAGUGAUCAUUUUCAAUUUCUUUCAGAUUGAAUGUCAGGAUAACUCUACUAUUAAGUUGAUUAACUCAGCUUCAUCUUCUUCCAAAUGGGCUGCUUUCAGGAGAAACAGAUAACUCCACGGAAUUGAAGUAUAACUUUAAAAAAUCAGAUAUAUAAGCACAAAACUUGGUUCUCUCAUUCAUUUUGCAGCACAGUGGCCACAGCAAUUUCCUGACAUGAUCUGAACUUCUCUGAUGUAAGUUAAACGAGUUCAGAGCAUGGAAACUGUGGAAAUUUAUU
ensembl:lncRNA